rnacentral:rRNA from 1 species
UACGUAGGGUGCAAGCGUUGUCCGGAAUUAUUGGGCGUAAAGAGCUCGUAGGCGGUUUGUUGCGUCGGCUGUGAAAUCCCGAGGCUCAACCUCGGGUCUGCAGUCGAUACGAGCAAACUAGAGUGUUGCAGGGGAGACUGGAAUUCCUGGUGUAGCGGUGAAAUGCGCAGAUAUCAGGAGGAACACCGGUGGCGAAGGCGGGUCUCUGGG